GUGGGGAAUAUUGGACAAUGGGCGAAAGCCUGAUCCAGCCAUGCCGCGUGUGUGAAGAAGGUCUUCGGAUUGUAAAGCACUUUAAGUUGGGAGGAAGGGCAGUAAGUUAAUACCUUGCUGUUUUGACGUUACCGACAGAAUAAGCACCGGCUAACUUCGUGCCAGCAGCCGCGGUAAUACGAAGGGUGCAAGCGUUAAUCGGAAUUACUGGGCGUAAAGCGCGCGUAGGUGGUUUUGUAAGUUGGAGGUGAAAUCACCGGGCUCAACCUGGGAACUGCAUCCAAAACUGCAUGACUAGAGUACGGUAGAGGGUAGUGGAAUUUCCUGUGUAGCGGUGAAAUGCGUAGAUAUAGGAAGGAACACCAGUGGCGAAGGCGACUACCUGGACUGAUACUGACACUGAGGUGCGAAAGCGUGGGGAGCAAACAGGAUUAGAUACCCGGGUAGUCC
rnacentral:rRNA from 1 species